GAAAGCUCCGCCCCCAGCCCUAGCUCCUCCUUCCCGCUUCAGCAGGUCCAGGCUCUGCGCCAGUGCAUCCUUCUCCAAGAGUGCGCUGCCUGGGCCCGCUUGCCCUGGAGUGUAAGUGCUGGGUAAAUAAGAACCGCCUGGCGCAGGCUGUGUCUACUCUUCACGCCGCCUUCUCAGAUCGGGCUGCAUGUCCCCACUCCGUGUUUACAUCUCGUUCCCGCUCCGGGUCUCGGUGACUGGCUCCUCAAGCCGGAGACGCGUGUGGUGCGGCGCGAUGCGGGCGCCAGCGCUGUGUGUGCUGGCGGUGCGCUGCCUUAGUGCGGGGGAAAGUGGAGGGAACGGUCCUGCGGGGCGUUCUGUCCAAGAAAAAGGACUGCAGCCUCGGGGAGCCAGGGUCCCCUCGCAGACGAGCUGCCAACGCCGCGGAGCCAUUUCUGUUCCACCCUAGGGGAGGAGUAGGGGGAUAUCUUUUAAAAGUUUAAUUGCAAAAUAAGUAGGUUAGUAAGGCCAUUUGUGGUUGCUGUUUCAGUAACUUCAGCAGUCAACGGAGAGAAGAGUGGAAACCUUACUGGAUGCGGACAGGAGAGCCAGUUACUGAAAGCAGAUAUAACGCGGAUCCUGUAAAGAGUGGUGUGUAUCCAAAAAAAAAAAAUCUGUACAAUGUAUUUUAAAACUUGUGUGCACAAAACUGAAGAUUUUCUUUUUUACCUAGUCCAAAUGCCGUCCUAGCCUGAGUCCUGCUCUUUAUAAAAAUAAAAUAAAAAGAAUUUGAAGCUUGUGAAAGUA
rnacentral:lncRNA from 10 species